CACGUAGUUAGCCGGUGCUUAUUCUUCAGGUACCGUCAUUAGCCCGGGGUAUUAACCCAGGCCGUUUCUUCCCUGACAAAAGAGCUUUACAACCCGAAGGCCUUCUUCACUCACGCGGCAUUGCUGGAUCAGGCUUGCGCCCAUUGUCCAAAAUUCCCCACUGCUGCCUCCCGUAGGAGUCUGGGCCGUGUCUCAGUCCCAGUGUGGCUGGUCGUCCUCUCAGACCAGCUACUGAUCGUCGCCUUGGUGAGCCUUUACCUCACCAACUAGCUAAUCAGAUAUCGGCCGCUCCAAAAGCGUGAGGCCUUGCGGUCCCCCACUUUCAUCCGUAGAUCGUAUGCGGUAUUAGCGUAACUUUCGCUACGUUAUCCCCCACUUCUGGGUACGUUCCGAUAUAUUACUCACCCGUUCGCCACUCGCCGCCAGGUUGCCCCGCGCUGCCGUUCGACUUGCAUGUGUAAAGCAUGCCGCCAGCGUUCAAUCUGAGCCAGGAUCAAACUC
rnacentral:rRNA from 1 species